rnacentral:misc_RNA from 1 species
GAUGAAGAACGUAGCGAAAUGCGAUAAGUAAUGUGAAUUGCAGAAUUCAGUGAAUCAUCGAAUCUUUGAACGCACAUUGCGCCCCUUGGCAUUCCGAGGGGCAUGCCUGUUCGAGCGUCAUUUCAACCCUCAAGCACAGCUUGGUCUUGGGCUUCGCCGCUAACCCGGCGGGUCUUAAAAUCAGUGGCGGUGCCGUCGGGCCCUGAGCGCAGUAAUUUCUCUCGCUAUAGGGUCCCGGCGGAUGCUGGCCAGUAACCCCCAAUUUUCUAUGGUUGACCUCGGAUCAGGUAGGGAUACCCGCUGAACUUAAGCAUAUCAAUAAGCGGAGGA